CCUACGGGAGGCAGCAGUGGGGGAUAUUGCACAAUGGGGGAAACCCUGAUGCAGCGACGCCGCGUGGGCGAAGAAGUAUUUCGGUAUGUAAAGCCCUAUCAGCAGGGAAGAAGAAAUGACGGUACCUGAGUAAGAAGCACCGGCUAAAUACGUGCCAGCAGCCGCGGUAAUACGUAUGGUGCAAGCGUUAUCCGGAUUUACUGGGUGUAAAGGGAGCGCAGGCGGCACGGCAAGCCUGAUGUGAAAGCCCGCGGCCCAACCGUGGGACUGCAUUGGGAACUACCGGGCUGGAGUGCCGGAGAGGUAGGCGGAAUUCCUAGUGUAGCGAUGAAAUGCGUAGAUAUUAGGAGGAACACCAGUGGCGAAGGCGGCUUACUGGACUGUAACUGACGUUGAGGCUCGAAAGCGUGGGGAGCAAACAGGAUUAGAUACCCCAGUAGUC
rnacentral:rRNA from 1 species